rnacentral:rRNA from 1 species
UACGUAGGGUGCAAGCGUUAAUCGGAAUUACUGGGCGUAAAGCGUGCGCAGGCGGUGAUGUAAGACAGAUGUGAAAUCCCCGGGCUCAACCUGGGAACUGCAUUUGUGACUGCAUCGCUGGAGUGCGGCAGAGGGGGAUGGAAUUCCGCGUGUAGCAGUGAAAUGCGUAGUUAUGCGGAGGAACACCGAUGGCGAAGGCAAUCCCCUGGGCCUGCACUGACGCUCAUGCACGAAAGCGUGGGGAGCGAACAGG